rnacentral:sRNA from 1 species
AAAUAGUCAAAGUUUUGAGGAUAAUUAACGAACUAACCAUAUCCUACAGUAACUUGUCGGAAAACACGUGUAAUUAC